rnacentral:tRNA from 1 species
UCCCUGAUGGCUUAGUGAGUAAAGAUUUUGCCUGCAAUGCAGGAGAUGCAGGUUUAAUCCCUGGUUUGGGAA